rnacentral:SRP_RNA from 1 species
GGAAGGGCGGCUACGGACGGGCCUCUUGCCAACCCGGUCAGGUCCGAAAGGAAGCAGCCGUAACAAGUUUGGUCCGGGUUGUUGGCCGUCCUUCCACU